CUUCAAUUUAUUGGAGAGGAAAGUCCGGACACCAAAGAGUAGCAUAGUGGAUAACAUCCAUCCGGCGUAAGCCGAGGACAAGUGCAACAGAAAGCAAGUACAGUUCGGCUGUAGUGAAACCAGGUAAACUCUAUGCGGUGAAAUGCCAUGUAUAUUGAAAUUUUAGUGUGACUCGCAUUAUUUCAAGGGGUAGGCAGCUNNAUUUUUUUACCAUAUUCUUAAUUUCUACAUCGUUUUCGUGAUCCAUUAUACCUUUUUAAAAAAAAUA
rnacentral:RNase_P_RNA from 1 species